rnacentral:rRNA from 1 species
UACGUAGGGCGCAAGCGUUAUCCGGAAUUAUUGGGCGUAAAGAGCUCGUAGGCGGUUUGUCGCGUCUGCUGUGAAAACCCGAGACUCAACCUCGGGCCUGCAGUGGGUACGGGCAGACUAGAGUGCGGUAGGGGAGAUUGGAAUUCCUGGUGUAGCGGUGGAAUGCGCAGAUAUCAGGAGGAACACCGGUGGCGAAGGCGGAUCUCUGGGCCAUUACUGACGCUGAGGAGCGAAAGCGUGGGGAGCGAACAGG